UGUGUCAAGUCUAUCGAUCAGAUG
rnacentral:siRNA from 1 species